UGCCAAGACAAGGAUAAAACCCCAUUUUUA
rnacentral:piRNA from 1 species